rnacentral:rRNA from 1 species
GACGAACGCUGGCGGCGUGCUUAACACAUGCAAGUCGAACGGAAAGGCCCUGCUUGCAGGGUACUCGAGUGGCGAACGGGUGAGUAACACGUGGGUGAUCUGCCCUGCACUUCGGGAUAAGCCUGGGAAACUGGGUCUAAUACCGGAUAGGAGCCAUUUUUAGUGUGAUGGUUGGAAAGUUUUUUCGGUGUAGGAUGAGCUCGCGGCCUAUCAGCUUGUUGGUGGGGUAAUGGCCUACCAAGGCGGCGACGGGUAGCCGGCCUGAGGGGGUGGACGGCCACAUUGGGAAUGAGAUACGGCCCAGACUCCUACGGGAGGCAGCAGUGGGGAAUAUUGCACAAUGGGCGGAAGCCUGAUGCAGCGACGGCGCGUGGGGGAUGACGGGCUUCGGGUUGGAAACUCCUUUCGCUAGGGACGAAGCUUUUUGUGACGGUACCUAGAUAAGAAGCACCGGCUAACUACGUG